rnacentral:rRNA from 1 species
UACGAAGGGGGCGAGCGUUGUUCGGAGUCACUGGGCGUAAAGGGCGCGUAGGCGGCCCUCUUUGUCGCGUGUGAAAGCCCCGGGCUCAACCUGGGAACGGCGCGCGAAACGGGGGGGCUGGAGUUCGGGAGAGGAGAGUGGAAUUCCCAGUGUAGAGGUGAAAUUCGUAGAUAUUGGGAGGAACACCAGUGGCGAAGGCGGCUUCCUGGCCUGUUCUUGACGCUGAGGCGCGAAAGCUAGGGGAGCAAACGGG